CGUUGAAGACGACGACGUUGAUAGGCCGGGUGUGUAAGCGCAGCGAUGCGUUGAGCUAACCGGUACUAAUGAACCGUGAGGCUUAACCUUA
rnacentral:rRNA from 1 species